CUUAAAUAUUGUCAUUGCUUACUUUGGAACAGUUCCUUAACAAAAAACCAUUGGUUUUGUGUCAAUAUUUCCUAAGCAAAAUAUUUUGAGUAUUUUGAUUCUUUUAUUUGCAGUACUCGUUUGCUCAGUCUCUUAAAACCAGAUGCAAUUAACAUGAUCGAGUAGCAAGAUCUCACAGUUGUUUCUUGCGAUCAUGAAAUGCUUCGGUUUUACUUCCUCAUCUGCUGAGCAUUAACAAAGAAAAGAAAAGAAGAAAUAAACCAACCCACCUCUAUUGAAUGUUUCCUAUUAGAAAUGGCCAAAUUCUUACACAGGAUACCUGGUGCCACCCAGCUCUGCCCUACACCCUCUGGCACUGCUCCUCUGUUCUGCACCAUCUUCAUAGGGACGCUCCACCAGGUCUGCCAUUACCCAAUUGCAUUGUGUUUUAGUGGUUCAUUAUUUUGAUUUUCAUGCAGAGCAGCCUGUUCCAGCUCCUCAUAACAAAGACAAUUAUGCUAACUUUAUUGGAUUUGCAUUCAGGGCUGAUUUGUCAGAAUUGUAUAUUGGUGCUGGGAGAUAGAAGGGGAGGGAGAAACGGUGCAUUGGCUUUUUGUGAUUACAAAAAAAAAAAAGAAGAAUAAAAUAAAACAACAAAAAAGGACAAAACUCAUCUCUGUUUCACGCUCUCUUGCAGCCAGGCCCUUUCCCAAUGCUCAGAACCACCGAUGCUGCUCACAGCCCUCAGCAAGCUCUUGUGCUGAGCUGCACAGGCUAUCUCACAUUCCUCACUCCAAUUUCAUGGAAAUGCUUUUGGGGGUAUAUAUUAUCCAAGACUCUCAGUGGGAAAACCUCCCGUUGCCUAGAGAAAGGGCUGAAAUCCGCCGCAAGGGAAAUGACCCACAGAGCCAAAUGACGCGUGCCAGAACCUUGAAAGUGCUCAUUGAGCACCCCAACAUGCUUCUGGCAUCAUGACUCCUGCUGAAGAGAUGGGUUUGCCAGUCCUGCAGUGAGGGAUGGAUGCAGUACCAG
rnacentral:lncRNA from 1 species